GAGCCAAAAAUAAAUAAAUUAAAUAAAUUUAAAAAAAAAUAAAAUGAGAGUAUGUAUAUUAGGUGCUACCAAGGGGAUCAAAAUUUCUUUAUUCUCUUCCUAGAAAAAUCAUGUAAACAUUAGCACAGAUCUCUCCUUAUCCCCCAGGUUCAAAAUCAUCAUGACCUGUUAGCCCUACAUUUAAAAUAAACAGGAAAAAUAAAACCAGUUACCAGAUGAACAGUUUUGGUUUUCUUUGGGAAACCUUCCACUUUAAAGGCUCAGUAGGUCUGUGUGAAUCUGGUGAGGAGGGACUAAGGGGACUCCAGUGGGCACGGAGCACAGCAGUGGGUCAGUGGAUUCCGGCAGUUCUAGUAAGUAUCACAUUAGGCCCACUUCCAGCCCCCAAAGGACAGGAUUAAAUAUUCUGAGCUCACGUUCCAGGAAUGGCUGGUCUUUCCCUUCCCUCCAGAAAAAGGACUGGGGCAGAUCCACAGGGUUGAGAGGAGGAAGGACACACCUUCUUAACCUUUGUCUGUCUUUAAAGCAGACUUCCUAGGAUGCACUUCUUCCUUACAUCAGAAAAAAGCCAUGAAUAUGCAGCCACAUGGAUUGGAGAAGACAGAAGAAAACAGGACUGAACAAAUGAGUUAAUUUGUUGAUGUUGCUGGCAGCUGUAGUUCUCAGUAUGGAAAAGGGAAUACAACACGGAAUGGGAAAAGACAAAAAAGAACUCUGUGGUGAUUGAUAGAUUGAAAUGGAAGGCACUGGGGCCAAAGUACAGGGGAAAAAGAGAAAAUCCUGGGAUUACACAAGGAAGAGAGUAACAAAUGAUCAGUUCUAUUAUUUAUUUGCUUUGAUGCUGGGCAAAUCAAAGCCCUUAAACCAUUACAGGUCUCAGUUUCUUUUUCCAAUUCAAACAAAUAUAAAGGAAAAUGUCAGAUAUUUUAAGAACUAAUGGAAUCCCAAUCACAAACCACAAGGGAUUAAAGGACAGAAAGGCAUUUAAGACACUUUUAUUUGAAAACUUUUGAUUACCAUUUUUUUCAUUAAGAGUUGUUCAUGACUUCCCUGGUGGCGCAGUGGUUAAGAAUUCGCCUG